GGCCGGGGCUGUAGUCAGGCAGGCUGCGAGUUUGCGGGUCGGGAAGACUGGUUGCGGGAGCCCCAGCACCUCCGAUCACUCACUUUCGUGGGCGCGCAGUUCUCGAGGAGAUCUGGGGACUGAGGAGCCUCACACAUAACUAGCCCAAGGUUAUCCAGCUUGCAACAGCUGGGAUGAGCGCGGGCAACCUCCAGGGCGCUGGGGUCAACGGCUUCAACAGUGCAAGAUACUGAGCCCUAAAUUUAUGUACCAAGUUGAGCUAUGAUUACUGCCUCUGUGUAUACUUUUCCUACUGGAUUGUGAGAUUAAAUUUGGUGAAAUGAAGCACAGCAUCAUACAGAAAACUGCAGAAAUCCUAAGUAUACGUUUCAGCGAAUUACUAGAAUGUGGACACAAUUGUGUAACCAUCACUGAGUUUAAGAAACAGAGUAUGACCAGCACCCCAGAAGCCCCCCACUCGUCUCUUCACUGUCUUGUUCCUCCUCCGACGUGACUACUUUUCUGAUUCUACCACCACAGUUUGGCCAUCUUCUAAAGAGUUUGAACCUGCUGAAGAACUGACUUGACUAUCUUGAUGGGGGAGUUGAAGAAAUCCUUCACUGGAGUCUGAGCAGGUGAGCUCAUAUUGAACUUCUAAGUCUCAGAUCAAGCAACCAUCUCUGUAAAGUCCUCCUUGCCUCUCCCAGACUAAGGAUUUUGGAAGUGUUACCUUCUGCAGAAUCCAUACUACUCCGAAGUUCUUCUACAGUUUUUGUCAAACUCUGGUUUUCCGUUUCUAAUUUCAAUAAACUACUUGAUGUCAAUUCAUU